AAUGAACGCUGGCGGCAGGCCUAACGCAUGCAAGUCGAACGGAUCCUUCGGGUUUAGUGGCGGACGGGUGUGUAACGCGUGGGAACAUACCCUUUGGUACGGAAUAGCCUCGGGAAACUGGGAGUAAUACCGUAUGUGGUCGAGAGACGAAAGAUUUAUCGCCAAAGGAUUGGCCCGCGUUGGAUUAGGUAGUUGGUGGGGUAAUGGCCUACCAAGCCGACGAUCCAUAGCUGGUUUGAGAGGAUGAUCAGCCACACUGGGACUGAGACACGGCCCAGACUCCUACGGGAGGCAGCAGUGGGGAAUCUUAGACAAUGGGGGAAACCCUGAUCUAGCCAUGCCGCGUGAUCGAUGAAGGCCUUAGGGUUGUAAAGAUCUUUCAGGUGGGAAGAUAAUGACUGUACCACCAGAAGAAGCCCCGGCUAACUCCGUGCCAGCAGCCGCCGUAACAC
rnacentral:rRNA from 1 species